GGGGCUGUAGCUCAACUGGGAGAGCGCAUGAAUGGCAUUCAUGAGGUCAGGGGUUCGAUCCCCCUCAGCUCCACCA
rnacentral:tRNA from 1 species